UAAGCAUAUUAAUAAGCGGAAGAAGAGAAACUAACAAGGAUACCGUUCGUAAUGGCGAAUGAACACUGUUUUACCACUAUCGAACCUUACAUUAACUCAAUGUAUGGAGUGUGAUAUUGGUGUGAUUCGAUGUGGUCGUCUUUAGCUAUGAAAGUUUGAUUGAUUGCAACUAUUCAUAGAGGGUGAAAGUCCCGUAUCACUGCUAAUUGACGAUUCACUUGUUUUGCGCAUGAGUAAAGCUGUUUCGAACUGCAGCUUGAAUGUACGUGGUGAACUCCAUGUAAGAUUCAAUAUGUUCGCGAGACCGAUAGAGGACAAGUACCGUGAGGGAAAGUUGAAAAGUACUCUGGAAAGAGAGUGAACAAGCCUGUGCAACUGUACAUUGCAAAGCGAAUGACAGAAAGUGCAAACUCGUUGCUUAAUUGCUUAUUCGUCAAUAAUUGAUUUGUUGCUAUUUCUUUGAAAGACGUUAAGCAGCUUGCCUGAUGAGUUUUGCUAAUGCGGUGCCUGUCGAUUAUGAUCUUUGAUGUGCGAACAAGUAUCGUUUCGUUAUUUGUUGAUCAUCAUGUUAGUGCGCUGAGCACUACAACUAACAUGGCUGGUAUUUACUGAUUACUCGACAUUGAUCCAGAUUAUUGGAUUGUCAAGUUCACUUGGUGCAUUAGUUCAAUGAUCUGUCAUCUGAACCGUCUUGAAACACGGACUAAGGAGUUCAACUUGAGCGCAAGUCGACUACAUGAAUAAAGUAUGGGGCACAGUGAAAGCAAUCUUGCAAUGAAUGUGAACUGAAGUUGCGAUUGUGCACUGAAGGUUAGCACAUGAUCUGGGUGGCAGUUUAUUACUUGCCUACUGCAACAGAGCGCUUUGGUUGUGACCCGAAAGAU
rnacentral:rRNA from 1 species